rnacentral:rRNA from 1 species
CCUACGGGAGGCAGCAGUGAGGAAUAUUGGUCAAUGGACGAGAGUCUGAACCAGCCAAGUAGCGUGAAGGAUGACUGCCCUAUGGGUUGUAAACUUCUGGUAUAAAGGAAUAAAACGAGGCACGUGGGCCGUUUUGCAUGGACGUUAUGAAUAAGGAUCGGCUAACUCCGUGCCAGCAGCCGCGGUAAUACGGAGGAUCCGAGCGUUAUCCGGAUUGAGUGGGGUUCAAGGGAGCGUAGAUGGGUUGUUAAGUCAGUUGUGAAAGUUUGCGGCUCAACCGUAAAAUUGCAAUUGAUACUGGCAGUCUUGCGUACAGUUGCGGUAGGCGGCAUUCGUGGUGUAGCGG